UGAAAAUCAUGUGGAAGAAGCUUCGGGUAAACAUUUUAAUGUUGUAACUUGUAAGCAUACACAUAAGCAAUUUCCUUUUUUAUGUGGUAAACAUCAAAUUAAACACUUUUAAAAAAUUUAAAUCCAUAAUCAUAAUCAACCAAAGGUGGUGAUCUAAUGGUAGAUAGAUUCUAGGGAGUUAAGUAACCCAAAUUCAAAGACAUCCCACUAUGUUUUACUUUU
rnacentral:lncRNA from 1 species